AUGGCCACAUCACAUUAAAACAUCAGUCCCUGUAAGAUCACCAAUGUUAAGCAAUGUUGAACCUGGUCAGUACCUAGUUGGGUGACCACUAGGGAAUAUCAGGUGCUGUAAG